UCGACCUGAGCUCAGGCAAGAUUACCCGCUGAACUUAAGCAUAUCAAUAAGCGGAGGAAAAGAAACUAACAAGGAUUCCCCUAGUAACGGCGAGCGAACCGGGAAUAGCCCAACUUGGAAAUCUCCCUCGGAGAAUUGUAGUCUAUAGAAGCGCCCUCUGCAGCGGCCGGGUCCCAAGUCCCCUGGAAGGGGGCGUCGUAGAGGGUGAGAACCCCGUCGGACCUUGGUGCGGCUGCCUCACGAGGUGCUUUCGAAGAGUCGGGUUGUUUGGGAAUGCAGCCCAAAGCUGGUGGUAAAUCCCAUCUAAGGCUAAAUAUUGGCGAGAGACCGAUAGCGAACAAGUACCGCGAGGGAAAGAUGAAAAGAACUUUGAAAAGAGAGUUAAAAAGUGCUUGAAAUUGUUGAGGGGGAAGCGAUUGGCAGCUGCGUGUGCACCCAGGCUUACGCCGCUCUAACGAUCGGCUGCAUGCGCUGGGUGUUGGUCAGCAUGGGUUGGCUUGGCAGGAUAAACGCGGGGGUUGUUACUCCGUCUAUGCUGCCGGGCCGACCGAGGCGUGAAGGCCGCUCUUGUCCCUCGGGAUCUGCGGCCUCGAGAUGCUGGCGGAAGGCUUUCAAUCGGCCCGUCUUGAAACACGGACCAAGGAGUCUAACAUGUAUGCGAGCUGGUGGGUGGUAAACCCAUGAGGCGCAAGUAACCUGACUUUGGUGGGAUGGCCGCAAGGCCUGCACCAUCGACCGACCGUGAUCUUCUGUGAAAGGUUCGAGUACGAGCAUACCUGUUGGGACCCGAAAGAUGGUGAACUAUGCCUGAGCAGGGCGAAGCCAGAGGAAACUCUGGUGGAGGCUCGUAGAUGUGCUGACGUGCAAAUCGCUUUUCGGACUUGGGUAUAGGGGCGAAAGACUAAUCGAACCAUCUAGUAGCUGGUUCCCUCCGAAGUUUCCCCCAGGAUAGCUGGAGCUUGUGUGUCAGUUUUAUCGGGUAAAGCUAAUGAUUAGAGGUUCGGGGGAUGAAACAUCUUCCACCUAUUCUCAAACUUUAAAUAGGUAAGACGUGUGAGUUGCUUAACUGAACUCACGCAUUCAAUGAGAGCUCCAAGUGGGCCAUUUUUGGUAAGCAGAACUGGCGAUGCGGGAUGAACCGAUAGUUGGGUUAAGGUGCCGGACUACGCGCUAACCUAGAUCCCACAAAGGGUGUUGAUUGAUACAGACAGCAGGACGGUGGUCAUGGAAGUCGAAAUCCGCUAAGGAGUGUGUAACAACUCACCUGCCGAAUCAAUUAGCCCCGAAAAUGGAUGGCGCUGAAGCGCGUGACCUAUACCCGGCCAUGGGGGCAAGUGCGAGGCUCCCAUGAGUAGGAGGGCGUGGGUGUCGCUGCGCAGCCUGGGGCGUGAGCCCGGGUGAAGCGGCACCUAGUGCAGAUCUUGGUGGUAGUAGCAAAUAUUCAAAUGAGAACUUUGAAGACUGAAGGGGAGAAA
rnacentral:rRNA from 1 species